GACGAACGCUGGCGGCGUGCUUAACACAUGCAGGUCGAACGGAAAGGCCCUGCUUUUGUGGGGUGCUCGAGUGGCGAACGGGUGAGUAACACGUGAGUAACCUGCCCUUGACUUUGGGAUAACUUCAGGAAACUGGGGCUAAUACCGGAUAGGAGCUCCUGCUGCAUGGUGGGGGUAGGAAAGUUUCGGCGGUUGGGGAUGGACUCGCGGCUUAUCAGCUUGUUGGUGGGGUAGUGGCUUACCAAGGCUUUGACGGGUAGCCGACCUGAGAGGGUGACCGGCCACAGUGGGACUGGGAUACGGCGCAGACGCCUACGGGAGGCAGCAGGAGAGAGUAUUGCACAAUGAGCGGAAGCCUGAUGCAGAAACGCCGCGUGCGGGAUGACGGCCUUCGGGUUGUGAACCGCUUUCGCCUGUGACAAAGCGUGAGUGACGGUAAUGGGUAAAGAAGCACCGGCUAACUACGUG
rnacentral:rRNA from 1 species